rnacentral:rRNA from 1 species
UACGGAGGGUGCGAGCGUUAAUCGGAAUUACUGGGCGUAAAGCGCACGCAGGCGGUCUUUCAAGUCAGAUGUGAAAUCCCCGGGCUCAACCCGGGAACUGCAUUUGAAACUGGCAGUCUAGAGUAUUGUAGAGGGGGGUAGAAUUCCAGGUGUAGCGGUGAAAUGCGUAGAGAUCUGGAGGAAUACCGGUGGCGAAGGCGGCCCCCUGGACAAAUACUGACGCUCAGGUGCGAAAGCGUGGGGAGCAAACAGG